rnacentral:rRNA from 1 species
GAUCNGUGCUAGGAUGAACGCUAGCGGCAGGCUUAACACAUGCAAGUCGAGGGGCAGCAUAAUGGAUAGCAAUAUCUAUGGUGGCGACCGGCGCACGGGUGCGUAACGCGUAUGCAACCUACCUUUAACAGGGGGAUAACACUGAGAAAUUGGUACUAAUACCCCAUAAUAUCAUAGAAGGCAUCUUUUAUGGUUGAAAAUUCCGAUGGUUAGAGAUGGGCAUGCGUUGUAUUAG